GUUCCAGCACUCGGUCACCAGCACAGAAAAUAAGUUUUUCUUUGUGUUCAGGUGGCAUCAAUUUCUUCCUGUCGCCUCCUGUCCCGUUGCUUGGCACCACCAAGCAGAGCCAGGCUCCAUCCUCUUGACACCCUCCCUGCAGAUACUUGUAGAAAUUGAUGAGGUCCCAUCAAGGCUGUCUCUUUUCAAGGCUGAAUAGGCCCAGUUCCCUCAGCCUUUCCUCAUAAUAAGUGAUAAUAAGAUCAUAAUAAGUGAUUCAGGUGACAGUUCUUGAGAGGAGUUAUUCUAAGUGAAGAUUUGUCAUUAGGUUGUAUUGGUGUCUUUCUUGGCCUGGUGCUAUUAUAGAUCACUGAGACAAAAAUAAAAAAAUACUAGUUUGCUCUUAUAAAUAGAGAUAAGAGCAAUUUGCUUAGAUAAAUUCAUUUUAAUUUGCUUUGUAAGCUCUUCUGCAAAAAUACUCCUCUGAAGCCAGUCAAAUUGGAGGUCAUGCAUUCAAAAUAAAGCCUUAAAGGGCACACCUGGAAUCUGGGAGAAUGACUGGCAUGAGACAGUGCUAAAGGGGACCUGGACAUAAUCAGCUAAACGUGAGGGCUCAGAACAAAGUUUUUGAUAGCUAGUACUCUGAAGAAAACCAGAGGAGCAUCAAAUAUAACUGGAAUGGAUAUUUCCCCUUUCUAUAGUACUGAUUAAAUCAUUAUCAAAAUAAUGCAUUCAGUUUGAACAUUAUCACUUUAAAGGGAUGUUAAACACUGAAAAGAGUCCACAAGAAAAUUAUGAAAGGUGUGGAAGAUGUGUGUUAACUUGAGAUAUUUAAAAAAUAUAAUCCAAUGCAGGUGAGGAGGUACUUUUGUCAUAAGCAUAAUAGCACUUGUUUAAGUAGUACUUAGAGAUGUUUGAGAAGUGUUGGUUUUCAGAAAAUUACAAAACUCUGGAAGCAAAACUAGAAUAAAAAUGAGACAAGAAAUGUGAUGCAUCUUAAUUUGCUAUAGGAUCAAAUUGUCUGUGAAACUCUUUUGGAACAAUGCAAAAUUGUCAGUAAAAACAUGGAGUUUUUUUCAAAGAUACAAUGUAGCUCAAGCAUAAACAGCAGAAUAUAUUGGUACAAUAUGGAGGUGGCACAACCAAUCAGCCAAUCCUUUCCUUACACUUGAUGAUUCCAGAAAAAAAGAAAUCUACUUGUAUAACUGCAAAGGAAGGAACAGGAUCACAAUAUUUCCAAAAAGAAAGAUUUUUUUUGUGUGUGUGUGUGUGAGUUCUAACAGACAACAUCUGAGGAACUCCUGGCACGUUUCAUUGUGAACAUGAUGUUUGUGCCUGACUAUCCAGUUCUUCUACAAUGGCUAAUGUGGUUUUCCAGACAACCCAGCAGUGCCUUCAGAGAAGUCCAAAUCUCCUCAAGCUAAAACUGACAAUGCAGAAUGCUAUGUCACUCAUGUAAAGAUCAUCAAAGGAACAAGAGUUCCACCUUCAGGUCUGGGAAAAUACUACCUCUGAUGGCAAAAGAUAUCUCAGGAAAAAAAAAAAAAGAAAAAAAGAAAGAAAAAAAAAAGCUUAGACUGAGUUAGACUUCCUGAAUUACAAACAGACUAAGACUUUUAUUGCAAGUCAGUGAUCGCUUCUGAGUGGCCUCUUACAGAGCUGAUGACUGUGUACAUCCCUAUAUAGUUAUCAAACUGUUCUGUAUUACCAGUAAACAUGUAGGAGAAAAUGAUGGAGAGUCCUAGAAAGGCACAGAACUUUGCUAUACAUCUGACUAAGGAAGAGCUUGCAGCAGUUUCUUUUUCCACAUGAGAUCAUUCAUAGUUUUCAGAUACAUGGUUUCAGAAUGUGCAAUUAAUUUAACAUGCUUAGCUCUAUUCCCAGCAAUCUUUCUUUACACACAGACUCUCAGAUAACUCAUGCUGAGGAUAUUUCAGUGAGUGUUGCUUAAUAGACACAGAACUUCCAAGAUGCUUACAUUAUGUUCCCAAAGAUGUAUCUUUUUCCAGUAGAGCGUUUCAAAAUUCUGUUGCCUUUUUCAAUGCAUUAUUACUACAGAGACACUGAUUUCACUGUCCAAAGGCUUGUGCUGGCAAGAACCACUCAUAAAGUUUCCACUGUGUCAUGGAAAACAGCGUUACAGUGAACACUGCUCUCUCUCACAGUCUUUCAGGAGCACAAGCUUCUUUGAAAUGAGAUCUCCUUUUAACAUACAUCCGUGGAAAAAAAUCAAGCUCUUUCCAUAAUUCUUGACUGAGGGACAUUCUCUGGAAUAUGUGGCAGUGUUUUAUAAAACCAUAUUCUUGAUGUAAGCAAAGUACUGGGGGUUAAUUUGGGGGCAAACUCCUUCCUCUCGCUGGCAAAAGUUGUGCUAUUAUUUUUGACAGAUGCUAGAAUUCUGAUCCAAAGUUCUUUCUGUCUACUUUGUGGCAAAAUCAUCUCAGAUUUGGUUGAGGAUCAUUUGUAUAGUGUUGCAGAAAGUAGGGCUCUCAAAUGGGAGUGAAAUGGAAAAGGUUUAUUGUACAUUAUAUUUACGGUAGCAGUAAUACUGCAGUAAAAGUAGGAGAGAAAGAAAUGAGGGCAAAGCAGAUUCUAUUUUGGUAGAAGCACUUCCUUACUUGUUGCACUGGUUAUUUGUGUCUUUUCCAGCAUAUUCACAGGUCUCACAGUGUGACCUUGAUGCAGGAAUGGUUUAUAGUACCUGCCACUGAUGUGGCCCUGCAAAGGUCGUACAGGAAAGCCUGUACAGAGAGGAUGGUGGGUACAGAGACUGUCUACAACAUCUGGUCUGCAGCAGGAUCUCCCUUCAGACAAGAGCAGGGUGAAACAAGCAUCACUAGCUGGUGGGAGCUCGUGUUGCAGGCACUUAGGGAAUAUGCACCUGUGGCACUUUGCCUGGGGUGCCUUAGGUAUCUGCUGCUGGCAUAACCAAAGGAGGUAAAACAUUAAAAUUGUACUGCUGGGGUUGUGGCCAUACGUGGGAACUUAUCCAUGACUAGAAUUUCAUUAAAAUCCAUGUUUGCUCUUUUCUUCCCAAUGUCUUUUUGUUCCCACAGAAGAAGAUUUCUCCUAUUCAGAACUACUGAUCAGCUUUCAGCAUGUGCUGUAGCAAUGGUUUAUGAGAUAUUCCCAGUUUUGUUUGUUGGGUCACCUAAGCACAUUUGUUUCAGAAGAGGGUUGAGCUCACUCAGCUUGGAAUCACCUUAAGCUAAAUCCUGACAUGUUACUCUAAUUAAAAAAAACCCCAGGAGUUUCCAAACAAAGCAGUUUUCCCAACUAAAGGAAGUUGGUCCUUUUCCUUGGGGUUUUCAUUUAAGACCUUAGAAAUUCUCUAUCAAAUCUUAGUGCCAAUCAAGACAAUGGCAACAUUUCCAUUAAAAUCAGCAUGGUGAGGAUUUCAUUCUUUGUCGAGGUUCCAAUGCUUCCUGAGUCAAAAGAAAAAAAAAAUACUAACUAUAUUCAGGGAUAAAAAACAGAAAAUGGCAAAUCAACUGAACAAACAUUCAUUCAUCCAUCCAGUUCAUCUGUGAUAUUUACCAGAAAACAUUCCUUUUCUAAAACCAUUCAGCCACGAAGGAAGGAUUCAGGAUGUCAUGUAAUUGCAGAACCAGAGGUGUAAUAGCAUCAUCUUACAUUCAUAAUCAAUUUAUAUUAAAAUCUUUUUUAAAGCCAUUUUUAAUUUUUCUUGCUUAGUUAGGAAUGUGCUUCUGAUUCUGUUUCUCUAACAUGAGCAGCUCAUGAACUGCCUGUUCAAUAAAACCUUCAAGGAAUUUGAGAAAAAAAAAUAAAAAUUAGAGUACUUAAGUUCAUUUAGGGUCCUUUUCCACUGACUUGAUGUUACAUGUUUGCUUUUAAGAUUUGUAGAGUUGUCUUUGCCUUUUCUCUCUCCCCUUAUGGGAUAACCAGAAAAACCUUGUUCAGCUCGGCCAAAGAGGUUCCUUGUUCUGAGAGGUGAAUAAAUAAGGGUGCAGGGAACCUUUCACUACAGCAGGUUUCUUAGACCUCCACCUAAUAUGGUCUUGAACACUUCCAGGGAUGGGGCAUUGACAGUUUCUCUGAUCCUCAGAGAAAAGAAUGUCUUCCUAAUACCUAAUUGAAAUCAACCUUCCUACAGUUUAAGGCCACUGAGUUGACAUCACAUUGAUGAGGAAUUUACCUGUCAGUACAAUGACCUAUUAAUCACACUGCUGAUUCAAAGGCCUUGUGUGCCGCAGAGCCUUGGAUUGUCUCCAGCAGUGGCCGCAAGUGCACGGUGAGGUCAGAGUAAGAAAGCAUGUGUGCUAGUUCCUCUUUCUUAUUCUCCCAGCCUUCGCCUUUUUUCUGGGCGGGGCUUCCUGAACCAGAAUUGGUUUGGGUAAUCAGUAAUCUUAGUGGAUCUCUCUUCCAAAUGCUCAGCCAAUCUCCCCUAGAAAGAAAGGCUCUUUGGGGCAGAAAGGUCCUUUGGCAAAGAUUUUCACAGGUCUGCUGCUGUCUGUAUAAAGAAGCUGAUUCUUCUGACAGUUCAUUGCUGUCCAACUUCUUCUUGCUACUCAUUGCUCCAAUGACCUCAUUUCUGCUCUGCAUUGCCUUUUCUGAGUCUCAGAUGCUCCUUGUGGUCAAGGUACUCAAUAAGUUUGAUCAAUCAUCCUUGUCAUUCUUCUCUGUGCCCUUUCCUUUCCCUUUCCCCCAGAGCUGCACACAGGAUUCAUUUUCUGGGCAAAUACAUGUUUAUGCAAGGUUAUAAUUUUAUAAUUGUAUUUUCUAUUUUGUUGCCUAUUACUCUACUAACAACUCCUACCAUUUGAUGUAUCUGUCUCUAUUUUUUUUUUUUUUAAACCAUGUCUGAGAAGUUUUACUGCAAGUCUUCUUUCAUACCUCAAACCCUUACUUUGAAUGGUAAUGGCCAACAAAAUGGUUGUCUCCUUGCCUUAGGAAUGGGCCACACAGUUGCACUGAAAAUUAUUGAAGGCAACAUAAUGAAUAAAGCAAUUUACAGAGCAAUACUUCCGCUCACAGGAAAGUCAGGGUGAGUCAGAAGUGAAGAGAAAGAAUGGCUGAGAUAUAGUUCAGAAUCUAUUGCUAGAAAGUAUCUGUCAUUUCUAAUACAUGGCAAGUGGUAUACAAUUUUAAAUGUAACUGAGAAAUUAUCUUAGCAAGAUAAAAAUAGGUCAUAAAAUAUUCUUUCUCAAAUGAGAGACCUCUUUGGCUGCUUUGAUUAUUUCUGUCUUACACGUUUUCCAGGAUCAUCAAAUUCUUUGCAACAAAGGAACCCCUCAUGACCUGGAUCUUUACAGUGAUGCUUGCUGUUAUUAUAUUGAAAAGCUUAAUUUUCUUCUAGCAGAAGUCAGACCCUUUUCUCUGAAAGACACAAAAUGAGAAGGUAGCCAAAAUUAACUCCUUCACUGUCUCCUGCUUCCUUGUAGGUCAUAGAUGUAUCUAUGCCAUAAAGGGAGAUGCUGGCAUAAGACAAAUGGCUUAAGUUCACAUUUCAAACUUGUUUCUUUCUUCCCUGAUAGACAGUUUUAGUGCACAGGUGUUCAUCAGCACUUACUGAAAAAGAAAAUCGAUUAUCUAGCAUCAAAGAUGCAAAGCUGAAGGGUAUCAACUCAGUUGUGAAGUCAGGUAGAUGUUUACAUUACUUCUUAUGCAGUGCCAUGUGUGCACUGAAACUGUGAAGUGCUCAACUUCUGUAACAGUAGAGACUGAAACAACUGCACAAACAGAUAUGCAAAGAGACUUGAUUCCAUAGUAAGAAGUAUUUUUAUAAAUAAUCUUUGAAUCUUAUUCUAUUUUCCUUUAAUAUGGCAGUAAGAGUACGAAGACCUGAAGUUCAGUCUUUUAGAGACAAAUCUACUUUAAAGUUUUGUCUCAGAGAAAGAAAGCCUCUGAAGCCUAUAUUACUUUAAAAUGUGGUUGAAAAUUUGGUUUUCUUGAUAAGUACUUUGGGAUAAAUGUUCAGCUAGCUAUGUGGAAAAUUAGCAGUAUUAGUCUAUUCUCUGCCCCAUUAGUCUAAAGCUACUACUAAUUCCCUGCACAUCAUACUGAAUAUUUACAUCUUUGUUUAGUAUUUAGAUGAGCCAUGAUAAUAUUGUUUUCUCCCUGCUGCAGUUUUCUGUAAUACUAAAAGGGAAAACAUAAACAUGUAAUAAAGACCAUUUUUCGUUAAAUGUGUUCAAUCCUAUUUAAAAGAUAGUAUAAUUACAGUUUGAAUUAAACCCUAAAUUGUGACUAAAAUGGCUUCAUUUCAUAUCUUGGAAAUAGCAGAUUGGAUUAAAGCUCUGUGGGCACUGUGAAUGUAGAUAAUUUCUUUGUGUGCAAAAGCUCUGAGUUUCAGAGAAGCUUAAGAGGGGCAUUAGCCUAACGCUGGGGUGGUACAGAGAGUGAGUUAUAUUAGCAGUUUUAAAUCUGGUGGCAAAUACUGUCCACAGGAUGGAUUUCAAUCAUUUAUGAAUGGUUGUCUUCUACAUCAGCUGCAGACAAGUAAAACACUGGGAAAACAAAACAACUCCAAUUGUUGUGUUGGCAACAUUGCACAUUGAUUGCACAGUUUGAGGAACAUGAUUGGAUCUUAUUUUCAGUCUAUCUGACUGCUUCCUGCUGAGGGUCAUGUCUGAGCUGGACAGCAGUCCCAAAGUGAACUGAAUGGAGGUGAUCAACUCAAAAUAGCUUUUAUGAGCCCCAGGUUUCAAAAUAAACCAAGACAACACUUCUAUUGUUGUCUAGCCAAGUGCUAGUUAUCUUUCUUUUGCAGGUAGUUUCUUGGGUUUCUUAGCUGGUCCUCUCAAUUGUAACUUUUAAUGUGACUCUGAUUAUCUUAGGAUUUUAUUGUAAAUAUUACUGCUCCACUGCUGUACUUAUUACUGACUUGUCCAAUAAUUACUUAUUACUCAUUACUUAUUACUCUCUUGCUUUGUCUACAACAGAACUAUGGCUUAACAGUAAUCAUUGCCAUCAUUUUCCGAAGCAAUUCACCAAAAAUUUGGAGGGAGAGAGGAUCCAGUGCCUCAGGAGAUCACCACUGUUCUUCUUGAUUUCUCUUGUGAAAAAUAAUCAGGCUCUCUCCACCAGUCCCCUUCACUCCUCAGCAUUAGGCCUUGGAAGCAAAUGGGGAAUCUGCCAACACUUCCACUUUUAGUAUUAGAAAAAUUAGAGGUAAGACCAGGACAAACUUGAUGUGGAGCGUGUUCUAGGUACGGGGGCUGCAAGAAGCAGGCCAGAAAGCGAUGCAGUUCCUGGAUGAGAGCAGAGGACACCUGAUCUGCAAGGCAAAAGGACUACAGUGAAGCAUUACAAGAAUGGAUCAUGAAAAGCUGUCCCACCAAUUGAUGCUCUUCAUGCAACACCCAGCUCUCUACCAGUGGUUGCUCCUAGGAAAAAAGCUGCGUGCAGAUACAAGUGGAGGAGCAGUGAAGUGACUUGUGUUUCCUGUGGAAGCCUGUCUUCACAGUCAGAUUUCUCCUAUGGCCCCUGCGGUGCUGUAGGAAGCGAUGGAACAGAAGCUGGCACCGGCUGAAAGCACUGCCAGCAGAGUGGGUGCUCGCUGACGGGGCGGCACCGGGUUCUCCUGCACCCACUGGAGUCCAGCACCUUUGCUCUGCAGCUGCCCUGUGCAGCUACAAAAGACAGACUACCAAACGCUUUGCUCACACACAUUUGGUAAUUAAUAGUGAAAUGACGACGAGGAACGCUGAGGCAAAUUAAGAAGCGCGUUAUCAAGAGAGUGCUGUGGAAAUGGUCCAACAGUCUGCACCAGGGAGGCACCAGGCACAGAACAGGAGGAGACCUGCAGAGAUGUCUGAGGUUGCACGUAAGAGUCUUCUGCCCCAUUCCCAUGCAAAAGGAUGGACAGUUCAAAAGCACCUGUCAGUCCUGCUGGCUGGGAGGUCUCAGCUCCUGUCAGGGCAGCUGCUGUCCCUGUUGCCCAACUAACCAGCAACUACAACUAAGCAGCUAACCAGCUAGAGUUUGGGGAAUAAGAUGCUCCCUGGUUACCCAAAAGUCAUCUUUUGGGAGGACUACAGAGCUUUGCUUCUUUCAAGCUGCCUCAUUUGUGACCUGGUGCGAUGAAAUUCUCUGUGUUCUUUAGCGCUUCCUUGGUAAAACCAGCAAAAAUUUAUCUGCAAGGGACAUUAUGUGUUGAUAUAGAAAAAGUUAGCAUCCCUUGGGAAUUACCUGUGGUGGCUGCUGUUCCAUUAUUUUCUCCAACCCUUCCUUUGGCAACAAAAAGGGGUCCUUCAUUCAUCAGGAACAUUUAGGUUGAUAUAGAUUAUCUAGAAGAAAAAGAAACAUUACAUACUACAAUCAGGGUGGCAUUGAUUAAGUUGUGUUGGUUUUGGUUUUUUUUCACCUGUGUGAUUUUGAUAUAAAAUAUGAAACAUGAUUCCAGCAAACCCCUUCUGAAAGACCCUAUGGCCUCAGAGCUUAUAGUCUUUCUGUGUGCUGUGCCUUUUAGAGCAAUUUCAUCCAGCCUUUGUAUCAGCUUCCACUGAAUGUCUUAGAAAUGUUAAAAUCAUCUAAUUCAGCAUUAUUUGAUUGCUGCAUAUCAAUACAGAGAACAGUGCAUUGCAACAUUCCCAUCCUUUGUGAAAAAAAAAGCAGCAUUAAUAAUGAGAAAGGAAAAUGAAGUGUGACACUAAAUUCAAGAGGCUGUUCAUUUAAGCAGCUUCCAAAUGAAACAUUUGCACUUUGUGAAUAAAUCUACAUCCUGAUGCCUGAUAUCUGGAGCAAAUCUUGACACACCUUGGGUAUCUUCAUGUUUGGGAGAUAGAUCCAGUUUUAAGGGUAGAGCUGCCACUUUCCACAGGUUUGGCUCUCAGAACUCUCUUCUCAACAGGGUUGCAUCAUGAAUUCUGCACUCAGUAGUUCAUGUUUGUGGAAUGAAUGAAUCCUGGGAAGGAGACACAGCAGAGGGAAAACAGAUAUGCUAUUUCUUGGCUUCCAGGUCCCAUGUGAGCUAUUAAUUACAAAGCAAUCUUAAGAAUGCUGAUAUCCGUGUAUAGCCCCCUUACCAAAAUAAACUUUCUCCAGAAUACACAUACACCAUUAAAAUUCAGAUAUAAUUUCAACAUAUUGAAAUAUUAAUUUUAAAUGCAUUGCCCUAGGAUAGUAUAACAGAGGGUGAGGCAUGGGAAAGGGAGAAGUACCAGGGGAAAAAGUUCAUGACAGAGAUGGAUUACUCUACUGAAGGCUUGCCCAUUUUCCUGGUUCUAUGUCUCUCUCCCAUGGAUGCCUCGGCCACAGCAAGUGGAAGGCUGCUGCCCAAGCUUAGUACACCCAUAAUCUAUGCAAAACAGCUAAAUCCCAGCCUCAGAGGGUACCAGCAAUUUUUAGCCAGAGCUAGAUUUAGCAUUUUCAAGUCUUCAGAUCAUUUCCAUUUUACCUCAGACAGGGAUGUGGUCAAGCCAUUGUGUGGAAAACAUUACUUGAAGUUUAGGGAGGGACUGGUAAACUGAUAUUUGUAGAGAAAUUACUCUAAAUUUUGAGAUGUGCAUGUUAGAAGGAGAAAUAAGCUCUUUAGAUCAUCCUUGCUUCCCCUGACUGAUAACAAACUACCACCAUUUUGAAACCUAAUGGUUAGUUUAUUUAUGCUUUCAACGUUGCCUCUGGAAAAAGAAAAUAGAGACAGAAAUUUGAUUUUAAAAUGACAUAUCUCCAAAACUGAUGGUAUUUAGGAUGCCUGUCACUGAAAAGGUAGUGCUUGAAAUAAAUUUCAAGUGUGAUGUAUAUCAGGGUAAACCUCAGAAUUUUCCCAGAUAUUCUGAAAAGUCUAGAAAAAGAGAUGGGUGCCUGGGGCCCUGCUUAGGCAUCUGUUUGCCAUAUGUUUUCACUGAGGAAAUAAAAUAAAAUGUCAGAAAAUCUGCAAGAGGUAAAAUGUAGGAGGCACCAAACUAAAAAUAGCAAGGCUUACAUGGAGACUGGACAGCUGGGUCUUCAUGGGCUCAAAAUGGAGUACAGCUAAUGCAGUUCCUACCAAGUGCUUCUGAAGCACAUUCUGAAGCUGGUCCUCACAGAACCCAUGGCUGAUCCACAGACCUCCCCCAGACACAGAACAAGGAGGAAGACUGGAUUGAUUGCCACAGUUGGAUACGGGAGACAUUAGAGCAGCAAGUUAAAAAGUUAUGUGUGUCUGAGGUGCAGGUGUCAGACAUGAAGGGAAACUUGUCAUGAUACGGGGUGCAGGCUAUCAUGACACCACCCCAGGGGAGAGAAAUGUCAGCGUGUACUGACCACUACAGACCACUGGCAGUGAAAUAAAGCAAAAUAUUGAGGGCUCAGCUAGAUGGGAAACCACUGGAAAAACAAACAAACACAGGUAAAAAUCGCCAAAGAGAACGUUAUGGGAAAAAAAGA